CCUACGGGUGGCAGCAGUGGGGAAUAUUGCACAAUGGGGGAAACCCUGAUGCAGCAACGCCGCGGGAAGGAAGACGGUUUUCGGAAUGUAAACUUCUGUUAUCAGUGAAGAAUAAUGACGGUAGCUAAGGAGCAAGCCACGGCUAACUACGUGCCAGCAGCCGCGGUAAUACGUAGGUGGCAAGCGUUGUCCGGAAUUACUGGGUGUAAAGGGAGCCCAGGCGGGAAGGCAAGUCAGCUGUGAAAGCUCAGGGCUUAACCUGGGGACUGCAGUUGAAACUGUUAGACUAGAGUGCAGGAGAGGUAAGUGGAAGUCCUAGUGUAGCGGUGAAAUGCGUAGAUAUUAGGAGGAACACCAGUGGCGAAGGCGGCUUACUGGACAGUAACUGACGCUGAGGCGCGAAAGCGUGGGGAGCAAACAGGAUUAGAUACCCGGGUAGUC
rnacentral:rRNA from 1 species